CUUAACUCCCAAGCCUGGGCUCACAGGAAGUUCAACACAGAACUUUCCCAAAAGAUCCUAUCUGCCUGGGGUAUAGAUAAUGGAGCCUGAUCCAAAUAGAGGUGAAUAUGUGAGUGGGAUAAGAUGCUUAGAAAAUGAAGGCUAGGAAAUGCCUAUCAUGAUCUGUCAUCUGAAAAAAGAAGUAAAACCACCCUCUGAGGGAACAGACAGAUGUGUUACACAAAAUGAUUAUCCAGCUGGUUCCAAUGACUGCCAGCCCAGUGAAAGGGCAAAACACAGGCUCUUGCUAGCUCCUUCAUCAUUCAUUCAACAACUACAGUUUUGCUGGUGACUGCUCAAAGCUGACAAGCUUUGGUGUUCCAAGAAGCGUUUGUUAUACUUGUGAUUCAAAGGGGGAAAAUGAUGAUAAAGAGAAAGGACAACAAAAGAGAAACAAAACGAAGAUAGGAAGAACUAUAAGAGAACUACAAAAAGCGAUCACCGCAAACAAGCAGUCCUGUUGGUCAACACACCACUGUGUAAUCAGACCAUAUUUCCAUCCUUCUGUCUUCAGGUGUAGCCACUCAGUUGCUUUGGUUGUGGAUUUCGCCUAACUGCCCAAGGGCCUGAAUUUUGCAAGGACUUGAAGCACUGAGAAGCAGAUUUCAGAUGGAAAAUGCCAUCUCAGAAAUAUGAAAAUUUACCU